GGUUAAGCGACUAAGCGUACACGGUGGAUGCCCUGGCAGUCAGAGGCGAUGAAGGACGUGCUAAUCUGCGAUAAGCGUCGGUAAGGUGAUAUGAACCGUUAUAACCGGCGAUUUCCGAAUGGGGAAACCCAGUGUGUUUCGACACACUAUCAUUAACUGAAUCCAUAGGUUAAUGAGGCGAACCGGGGGAACUGAAACAUCUAAGUACCCCGAGGAAAAGAAAUCAACCGAGAUUCCCCCAGUAGCGGCGAGCGAACGGGGAGCAGCCCAGAGCCUGAAUCAGUAUGUGUGUUAGUGGAAGCGUCUGGAAAGGCGCGCGAUACAGGGUGACAGCCCCGUACACAAAAAUGCACAUGCUGUGAGCUCGAUGAGUAGGGCGGGACACGUGGUAUCCUGUCUGAAUAUGGGGGGACCAUCCUCCAAGGCUAAAUACUCCUGACUGACCGAUAGUGAACCAGUACCGUGAGGGAAAGGCGAAAAGAACCCCGGCGAGGGGAGUGAAAAAGAACCUGAAACCGUGUACGUACAAGCAGUGGGAGCACGCUUAGGCGUGUGACUGCGUACCUUUUGUAUAAUGGGUCAGCGACUUAUAUUCUGUAGCAAGGUUAACCGAAUAGGGGAGCCGAAGGGAAACCGAGUCUUAACUGGGCGUUAAGUUGCAGGGUAUAGACCCGAAACCCGGUGAUCUAGCCAUGGGCAGGUUGAAGGUUGGGUAACACUAACUGGAGGACCGAACCGACUAAUGUUGAAAAAUUAGCGGAUGACUUGUGGCUGGGGGUGAAAGGCCAAUCAAACCGGGAGAUAGCUGGUUCUCCCCGAAAGCUAUUUAGGUAGCGCCUCGUGAAUUCAUCUCCGGGGGUAGAGCACUGUUUCGGCAAGGGGGUCAUCCCGACUUACCAACCCGAUGCAAACUGCGAAUACCGGAGAAUGUUAUCACGGGAGACACACGGCGGGUGCUAACGUCCGUCGUGAAGAGGGAAACAACCCAGACCGCCAGCUAAGGUCCCAAAGUCAUGGUUAAGUGGGAAACGAUGUGGGAAGGCCCAGACAGCCAGGAUGUUGGCUUAGAAGCAGCCAUCAUUUAAAGAAAGCGUAAUAGCUCACUGGUCGAGUCGGCCUGCGCGGAAGAUGUAACGGGGCUAAACCAUGCACCGAAGCUGCGGCAGCGACACUAUGUGUUGUUGGGUAGGGGAGCGUUCUGUAAGCCUGUGAAGGUGUACUGUGAGGUAUGCUGGAGGUAUCAGAAGUGCGAAUGCUGACAUAAGUAACGAUAAAGCGGGUGAAAAGCCCGCUCGCCGGAAGACCAAGGGUUCCUGUCCAACGUUAAUCGGGGCAGGGUGAGUCGACCCCUAAGGCGAGGCCGAAAGGCGUAGUCGAUGGGAAACAGGUUAAUAUUCCUGUACUUGGUGUUACUGCGAAGGGGGGACGGAGAAGGCUAUGUUGGCCGGGCGACGGUUGUCCCGGUUUAAGCGUGUAGGCUGGUUUUCCAGGCAAAUCCGGAAAAUCAAGGCUGAGGCGUGAUGACGAGGCACUACGGUGCUGAAGCAACAAAUGCCCUGCUUCCAGGAAAAGCCUCUAAGCAUCAGGUAACAUCAAAUCGUACCCCAAACCGACACAGGUGGUCAGGUAGAGAAUACCAAGGCGCUUGAGAGAACUCGGGUGAAGGAACUAGGCAAAAUGGUGCCGUAACUUCGGGAGAAGGCACGCUGAUAUGUAGGUGAAGUCCCUCGCGGAUGGAGCUGAAAUCAGUCGAAGAUACCAGCUGGCUGCAACUGUUUAUUAAAAACACAGCACUGUGCAAACACGAAAGUGGACGUAUACGGUGUGACGCCUGCCCGGUGCCGGAAGGUUAAUUGAUGGGGUUAGCCGCAAGGCGAAGCUCUUGAUCGAAGCCCCGGUAAACGGCGGCCGUAACUAUAACGGUCCUAAGGUAGCGAAAUUCCUUGUCGGGUAAGUUCCGACCUGCACGAAUGGCGUAAUGAUGGCCAGGCUGUCUCCACCCGAGACUCAGUGAAAUUGAACUCGCUGUGAAGAUGCAGUGUACCCGCGGCAAGACGGAAAGACCCCGUGAACCUUUACUAUAGCUUGACACUGAACAUUGAGCCUUGAUGUGUAGGAUAGGUGGGAGGCUUUGAAGUGUGGACGCCAGUCUGCAUGGAGCCGACCUUGAAAUACCACCCUUUAAUGUUUGAUGUUCUAACGUUGACCCGUAAUCCGGGUUGCGGACAGUGUCUGGUGGGUAGUUUGACUGGGGCGGUCUCCUCCUAAAGAGUAACGGAGGAGCACGAAGGUUGGCUAAUCCUGGUCGGACAUCAGGAGGUUAGUGCAAUGGCAUAAGCCAGCUUGACUGCGAGCGUGACGGCGCGAGCAGGUGCGAAAGCAGGUCAUAGUGAUCCGGUGGUUCUGAAUGGAAGGGCCAUCGCUCAACGGAUAAAAGGUACUCCGGGGAUAACAGGCUGAUACCGCCCAAGAGUUCAUAUCGACGGCGGUGUUUGGCACCUCGAUGUCGGCUCAUCACAUCCUGGGGCUGAAGUAGGUCCCAAGGGUAUGGCUGUUCGCCAUUUAAAGUGGUACGCGAGCUGGGUUUAGAACGUCGUGAGACAGUUCGGUCCCUAUCUGCCGUGGGCGCUGGAGAACUGAGGGGGGCUGCUCCUAGUACGAGAGGACCGGAGUGGACGCAUCACUGGUGUUCGGGUUGUCAUGCCAAUGGCACUGCCCGGUAGCUAAAUGCGGAAGAGAUAAGUGCUGAAAGCAUCUAAGCACGAAACUUGCCCCGAGAUGAGUUCUCCCUGACUCCUUGAGAGUCCUGAAGGAACGUUGAAGACGACGACGUUGAUAGGCCGGGUGUGUAAGCGCAGCGAUGCGUUGAGCUAACCGGUACUAAUGAACCGUGAGGCUUAACCUU
rnacentral:rRNA from 1 species